GGUGUUUUCUUCCAGGGAGCUCACAAGGCAGUUAAGCUGCUUCAGUAUUUUGGAUAUCAAUCAAAGAUUCAUUACUAGACUUGGUUUGAUAAUUGCUGAGCUGGAUGUGUGCAGGCAUAGAUUCAUUAACAU